rnacentral:rRNA from 1 species
UACGGGAGGCAGCAGUGGGGAAUAUUGCACAAUGGGCGCAAGCCUGAUGCAGCCAUGCCGCGUGUAUGAAGAAGGCCUUCGGGUUGUAAAGUACUUUCAGUCGUGAGGAAGGUGUUAAGGUUAAUAACCUUAGCAAUUGACGUUAGCGACAGAAGAAGCACCGGCUAACUCCGUGCCAGCAGCCGCGGUAAUACGGAGGGUGCGAGCGUUAAUCGGAUUUACUGGGCGUAAAGCGUGCGUAGGCGGCUGAUUAAGUCGGAUGUGAAAUCCCUGAGCUUAACUUAGGAAUUGCAUUCGAUACUGGUCAGCUAGAGUAUGGGAGAGGAUGGUAGAAUUCCAGGUGUAGCGGUGAAAUGCGUAGAGAUCUGGAGGAAUACCGAUGGGCGAAGGCAGCCAUCUGGGCCUAAUACUGACGCUGAGGUACGAAAGCAUGGGGAAGCAAACAGGAUUAGAUACC